UGUCGCAUUAGUCGCGGUUGACAGAAAAGAAAAUUUGUUUUCUGUUUUGCUGGUCCUGCUGGUCGCUGAUAUGCUGAUGGUAGCAAAAUUAAUUUGAUCGAAUUUGUUUACUGUUCCCGCCAUCGUUAUAAUCGGAAGAUAUGUCGUCUCGACGGAGCUUAUUUCCGGCUCGUUUGCUUCGCUGCAAAGUCAAGGUAUUCCGGUGCCGACCAAUCGAUUGGAACAGGGAAAAACUCAAAACAAGAGCGGAACGGUUGAUGGCGGAUGAGAAGGCCAGUUGGUCAGCAGUGAGCCAAACGUAUUCACAAAAGAUGUACUAAGUAAAUAAGCCUACAACUCAAGAUAAAAACGACGAAUAAAAUGGAAUACCCGAGAGAAUGCCUGGUUUAGCAGAUGCCAACAGCUUCACCGUUUCCCGAUAAAACUACCCUGGUAUCCAUGUAUUUUUAUUAAACAGUGUUUAAAUCUUGAUUGAAAUAAACAAGUAAACUAAAAUCGAUAUUAAAUAAAACAUGUUUCAAAAAAGAAUUGACUUGAUUAAAUGAAAUGAAAAAUUUUAAAGUAAAAUAAAAUGUGCCAAAAUUUUGGUUUUAA